rnacentral:rRNA from 1 species
UACGUAGGGGGCUAGCGUUGUCCGGAAUCAUUGGGCGUAAAGCGCGUGUAGGCGGUUCGGUAAGUCCGCUGUGAAAGUCGGGGGCUCAACCCUCGGAUGCCGGUGGAUACUGUCGGACUAGAGUACGGAAGAGGCGAGUGGAAUUCCUGGUGUAGCGGUGAAAUGCGCAGAUAUCAGGAGGAACACCAAUAGCGAAGGCAGCUCGCUGGGACGUUACUGACACUGAGGCGCGAAAGCGUGGGGAGCGAACAGG